UUGGUGAGUGGCGGACGGGUGAGUAACACGUGGGUAACCUGCCCAAAAGUGGGGGAUAACAUUUGGAAACAAGUGCUAAUACCGCAUAACAACUACUUUCACAUGAUCGUAGCUUGAAAGAUGGCUCUGCUAUCGCUUUUGGAUGGACCCGCGGCGUAUUAGCUAGUUGGUGAGGUAAUAGCUCACCAAGGCAAUGAUACGUAGCCGACCUGAGAGGGUAAUCGGCCACAUUGGGACUGAGACACGGCCCAAACUCCUACGGGAGGCAGCAGUAGGGAAUCUUCCACAAUGGGCGAAAGCCUGAUGGAGCAAUGCCGCGUGAGUGAAGAAGGUUUUCGGAUCGUAAAACUCUGUUGUUGAAGAAGAACAUGCGUGAGAGUAACUGUUCACGUACUGACGGUAUUCAACCAGAAAGCCACGGCUAACUACGUGCCAGCAGCCGCGGUAAUACGUAGGUGGCAAGCGUUGUCCGGAUUUAUUGGGCGUAAAGAGAAUGUAGGCGGUUUAUUAA
rnacentral:rRNA from 1 species